CAAUACCAAUUAAACGUAUAAGAGGUCCCGCCUGCCCUGUGACUAAAAGUUUAACGGCCGCGGUAUUUUGACCGUGCGAAGGUAGCGUAAUCACUUGUCUUUUAAAUGGAGACCUGUAUGAAUGGCAUAACGAGGGCUAAGCUGUCUCCUUUUUCCAGUCAAUGAAAUUGAUCUUCCCGUGCAGAAGCGGGAAUACUUACAUAAGACGAGAAGACCCUAUGGAGCUUCAGACAAAAGGCAGCCCACGUAAAGCACCCCAGUAAAAGGAAACAACAAAAUGGCUUCUGCCCUUAUGUCUUUGGUUGGGGCGACCGCGGGGCAACAAAAAUCCCCCACGUGGAAUAGGAAUACUUCCCUAAAAUCAGAGCCACAGCUCUAAUUAGCAGAACAUCUGACCAAAAAGAUCCGGUAUAAAACCGAUCAACGGACCGAGUUACCCUAGGGAUAACAGCGCAAUCCCCUUUUAGAGCCCAUAUCGACAAGGGGGUUUACGACCUCGAUGUUGGAUCAGGACAUCCUAAUGGUGCAGCCGCUAUUAAGGGUUCGUUUGUUCAACGAUUAAAGUCCUACGAGAUCUGAGUUCAAACCGGGGGGAUGGA
rnacentral:rRNA from 1 species